CACGCCGUAAACGAUGGGUACUAGGUGCUUGGGGGAGCGACCCCCUGGGUGCCGGCGCUAACGCAUUAAGUACCCCGCCUGGGGAGUACGGCCGCAAGGCUGAAACUCAAAGGAAUUGACGGGGGCCCGCACAAGCGGUGGAGCAUGUGGUUUAAUUCGACGCAGCGCGAAGAACCUUACCUGGGCUUGACAUGCAGGGGAAACCCCCGGGAAACCGGGGGCCUCCUUCGGGACCCCUGCACAGGUGCUGCAUGGCUGUCGUCAGCUCGUGUCGUGAGAUGUUGGGUUAAGUCCCGCAACGAGCGCUACCCUCGCCCUUAGUUGCCAGCGGUUCGGCCGGGAACUCAGGGGGGACAAGGAGUGCCCAAAUCUAUGAAAGAUGCCUAGAAUGUCAAGACCACUA
rnacentral:rRNA from 1 species